rnacentral:lncRNA from 1 species
AAAUCCCACAAGAGACAUUGACUGCACAAUAUUGUUCUUUGACAUAAUUACUGUCGUAGCUAAAAAAUCGCUGCCGUAAGCCUAUUGCGAUGGCUGCAACGGCAAUGAUUAGACAAUUGCUGCUGUAGGCCUGUCAUAGACCAUUUUUGUAGUCAUGAGAGGAAAAACAAUUAGGUUGCCUUUUUGAGCAAUGGUGCUUUGAUCACAUGCAUAGAGGAAGAAAAAAAAAUAAUGGUCUCAGCGGCAUCCUUCUUAUCAAAAGGAAUAAUGGGAAGGUGAGGAGAAAUUUACCAAAGGGUGGUGG